CAAACCCCGAAACAAAGAAAUAGGAUUAAAUUGACAAAUUUUAUAAAAUUAAGAUCUAAAUUUGUAGUUUAGCCGAUAGCUUAUUUUAAUGUAUGUUUUAAAAGUUCAGGGAAGAAAAAGAGAGUUCGUCUACAGUGGGUAAAACAAAUCACCUUCCUCUUCUAUCCUUCCAUCCUUCCAUCCUUCCAUCCUUGCACUCCUGAUGGAUCAACAGCAACCACCUCCGCCAACCCCUAAUGCUCCUCCUCCUUCCUCCGCCGUCGACCCACCUCCGCAACCACAGCCGCAGCCACAAAUUCAACAACAAACAACGCCAACGCCCCCGUCAACAUCCUCUACCGCAAUCCCUAACCCUAUCCUGAAACCCUUACCUUCCGCCAUACCACCACCGCAACAGCCGCCGCAGCCUAAACCAGCUCUCCCCUCUCAUCAGCCAAGACCCGCCGCUGCAUUCUCGAGGCCAUGGCAACAACACUCUUCCCAGUUCACUCAUUUCUCUUCCUCUUCUCCUUCCGCCUCAUCGUCUCCUUCCCCUUCACUUUCCUCUCAGCCGCGAGGCAGCAUUGCCCUCGGUGUUCCUUCGUCCCAUUCUGGCCCCUUGCCUCCUUCUCCUUCACCUUCGCAAUCCACUCCGUUUACCGGUUCCUUUGGCCAUUCCUUCGGUGGAACCUCUAGUUCCAAUGUUUCCCAGGCAAGGCCGAUGAUGCGAGGAAUAGGGAUGGGAUCAUCAGUUGGUUCAAGUUCACAAAUGAGACCAGGUGGGAUUUCUGCUCAGCAUCAACAAAGGCCUUUGCAAUCAUCUCUUAGACCAACAUCUUCACCAACUAGCCAGUCCGCUUCUACCCAAAAUUUCCAAGGGCAUGGCCUUAUGAGAGUGUCAGCGGUUGGUUCCUCUUCUUCAACACCAAGUACUCCACAAACUCCACAAUCCCCUAAUCAGCCGUGGCUAUCAUCUGGAGCGCAAGGGAAGCCACCUUUGCCACCCCCUUGGCAUAGACCACAGAUUAAUGCACCAUCCUUGCAGCCGAGGGCACAUAUACCCCAGCAACAUCAUUCAUUGCAAACAAUUUCACAACAGCAGCAUGUAUCAUCUCCACAGGUGCCACCACAAAAUAUAUCGUCGAUUCAGCAGCAGGAACCUUUUGAGCAACAGUUUUCGCAAUCAAGGGCCUCACAAUCUCUACCUCAUCAACAACAAGAUUCCAGAUCCCAGGGCUCUGCAAAUCAAAAGCCUUCUUCUCUCGCAAUGGUACAACCAAGCACAGUCCAGGUGACCCAAAACAAAGCAGCAAUUACAGAAAGUGAUGAUUCUGGUGGUCGGAUUCUUAGCAAAAGAAGCAUCCAUGAUAUAGUUAACCAGAUUGAUCCAUCUGAGAAAUUGGAUCCUGAAGUUGAAGAUAUUCUUGUGGAUAUUGCUGAAGACUUUGUGGAUUCUAUCACAACAUUUGGUUGCUCACUGGCCAAGCAUAGAAAGUCAGAUACAUUGGAAGCAAAAGACAUUCUCCUACAUCUUGAGAGAAAUUGGAAUAUGACGCUUCCGGGAUUUAGUGGUGAUGAGAUUAAGACUUACAAAAAACCGCUUACAAAUGAGGUUCACAAAGAGCGGCUUGCAGUGAUAAAGAAAUCAAUCUUAGCGAGCGAGGCAGCCAAUGCUAAGCACAUCAUUGGACAAACUGCUGUGAACACAAAGGGUAACGUUGGAAAAGUGGCUGCUAAUAUCUUGGGCUCUCCAAAUGUUAAAAUACGAGAAGUAUCAUGAGGCUCUAUUUAUUUUUUUGACAACAUUCAAGCUCAGAAUCCUUUUAGAAGGGAUCGGUUGCCUGAGAAGCAUUAUCGUCGAUGGGAAGAACAAACCAAACUUUUUCCCCUCCUACAUUGAACAACAACUUAAUGAUGCUCUUAUUGCGCUUUGCUGAAAAUUCUUUGAAAAUACCUUGGUAUUGAAAUCCCGCUCUUGAAUCCAGGUUCUUGAAUUUUGUCGAUAAAAACUAACCUCAACUGCUAGCAACAGUUGCAUGUAAUGGUUGUAUAGAUCUUUCUCCCGGUCACCAUGUCUGUAUCAGGGUUGGUGUUGUAGUUGCUAAAUUUUCUGUCUCCUUCCUUUUCUCGCAAACUUCUGUGGAGAUAUCUCCAUAAAAAAUGUCUUAACUCUUCUAGCUUCAAUCUGAUCGCUUAUCAUUCACAAUUACUCUCUGUCCAAUUAUGUAGCCAGAAAUCCUUGCUGUUGAUGAUGAGUCCAAGUGAAAGCAGGCAUGAUCCUAGAUAAGACUCCAAUCCCAGAUAAACAGUCUCGAAACUCCAUGAUAUCGCCAGUCAUAUUGUAGUGAAACUCUGCUGCUAGCAUCGAUGGGCUUCUUAUGUUGCAUGUCGUGAAGAUGAUCCUGUAACAUCCAUUUCUUAUAUAUAUAUUAAAUGUAUAAAAGUAUUAAAUGAAAUUUUGGUUGAUUGCUAAA